rnacentral:RNase_P_RNA from 1 species
GCGGAUGGCCGGAUGGUCGCGUGGCGGCAACGCUGCGAGGAAAGUCCGGACUCCAUGAAGAAAGGGCGCCGGGUAACCCCCGGCCGGGGCAACCCGAGGGAAAGCGCCACAGAGAACGGACCGCCCCGCAGGGGCAAGGGUGAAAAGGUGGGGUAAGAGCCCACCGGGGUACUGGCAACAGCACCCGCAUGGCAAGCCCCGCCCGGAGCAAUGCCAAAUAGGGGCCUCAGGGGCGGCAACGCCCAGGGUUUCUUCAGCCCGGAGGCCCGGGUCGGCAGCUUGAUCCGGCUGGUAACAGCCGGGCCAGAGGAAUGGCCAUCCAGAGGGGGGCAACCCCUUGGACAGAAUCCGGCUUACAGGCCAUCCGCGCAU